UACUGCAUUCCCUAGUAACGGCGAGUGAAGCGGGAAGAGCUCAAAUUUGAAAUCUGGCAGUCUUCGAUUGUCCGAGUUGUAAUCUAUAGAGGCGUUUUCCGUGCCGGACCGUGUCCAAGUCUCCUGGAAAGGAGUAUCAAAGAGGGUGAUAAUCCCGUACUUAACACGACCACCGGUGCUCUGUGAUACGUCUUCUACGAGUCGAGUUGUUUGGGAAUGCAGCUCAAAAUGGGUGGUGAAUUCCAUCUAAAGCUAAAUAUUGGCGAGAGACCGAUAGCGAACAAGUACCGUGAGGGAAAGAUGAAAAGCACUUUGGAAAGAGAGUUAAACAGUACGUGAAAUUGUUGAAAGGGAAACGAUUGAAGUCAGUCGUGUUCUUUGGAUUCAGCCAGUUCUGCUGGUCUACUUCCUUGGAACGGGUCAACAUCAGUUUUGUCCGGUGGAUAAAGGUAGUAGGAAUGCGACUUCUCCGGAAGUGUUAUAGCCUAUUAUCACAUACACUGGGUGAGACUGAGGACUGCAGCUCGCCUUUAUGGCCGGUCUUCGGACACGUUCGAGCUUAGGAUGUUGACAUAAUGGCUUUAACGACCCGUCUUGAAUACGACCACUU
rnacentral:rRNA from 1 species